GAUGAAGAACGAAGCGAAAUGCGAUAAGUAAUGUGAAUUGCAGAAUUCAGUGAAUCAUCGAAUCUUUGAACGCACAUUGCGCCCGCCAGUAUUCUGGCGGGCAUGCCUGUUCGAGCGUCAUUUCAACCAUCAAGCCCCAGGCUUGUGUUGGGGACCUGCGGCUGCCGCAGGCCCUGAAAACCAGUGGCGGGCUCGCUGUCACACCGGGCGUAGUAGAUUUUAUCUCGCUCAGGGCGUGCUGCGGGUUCCGGCCGUUAAAAAGCCUUUUUUACCCAAGGUUGACCUCGGAUCAGGUAGGAAGACCCGCUGAACUUAAGCAUAUCAAUAAGCGGAGGA
rnacentral:misc_RNA from 1 species